rnacentral:piRNA from 1 species
UGUGUGCAAACACUUGUCCCCUAAGUUGUA